UUGCUGACCUUGUUUUGCUCCCUUUUUGUCUUAAAUUUAAAUGGAGUGACAAAGAUUCUUACCUUUCCCAAAUUCAUCUCUCCCGUAAAAGAGAAAACCCUCCCCUGCUGCUCACCGAUAACCACUUCAUCUUCAGUCCUUCACUGUAACUAAAGAAGAGAGAAUAUGGAUAUGAUCAAAGUUGGCCCAGCGGGAGGAAAUUGUGGAACCAUUUGGGAUGAAAAGGGACGAGACCAAGUUGGUGGGAUUAUUGUUUCCUACAGCAAAGACAAAGUUCUGUCACUUCAGUUCUUUUUCCAUGAAAAUGGCAACUUAGUUCAGUCAAACAAGCAUGGUGUUGAUCAAUGUCAAAACUUUUAUGCAGUUUUCUUUGAUUAUCCAUCAGAGUUUCUUACUUCCUUAAGUGGUUCCUACAUAUACACGGGGUACGCUACAGUUUUGGAAACUAUAAAAUUUUGCACCAACAAGGGUUCCUAUGGACCAUUUGGGCGUACCCUGCCUUCAAAUGGUGCCAUGAACUUCAACUUUGAGAUAGGAAAUCAUCGUUUUUUUGGUGGUUUUCAUGGCCACAACAAUAGCUGUGGCGUUGAGAGUAUUGGGAUAUAUGUGAAGCCCAUCAUACCCUCCAUGAAAAAAUUGAGAAUCCAGAAGUGAAGGUUGAAAAGGGAAGAAGAUUAACUCAUGAUAUAAACUCACCUUCUGGUAAUUAAUUUCCAACUGAAAUAAUUAGUCUUAUUUAAUUACUCUCUGCUUAUUUGGUUUUACCUUUGCACUAUUGAUCUACUGAUUGGUGCAUGGUUAUUAUGUAAGGAUUAUCUUUUAAGUAUUUUAUUAAAAAAGUUAAGAUGGUAAAGCCCCA